rnacentral:rRNA from 1 species
UGAAACACGGACCAAGGAGUCUAGAGUAUACGCGAGUCAUUGAGUGUUAAUACUCAUAGGCGAAAUGAAAGUGAAGGUCUUCGUUAGGAGGUUGAUAUGCGAUCCGUUGUGUUUCGGCGCAGCGGAGCAGCAUAGCCCAAUCUCGACUGCUUGCAGUGGGGUUGCGGAAGAGCGUACGCGCUGGUACCCGAAAGAUGGUGAACUAUGCCUGAGCAGGAUGAAGCCAGAGGAAACUCUGGUGGAGGUCCGAAGCGCUUCUGACGUGCAAAUCGAUCGUCUGACUUGGGUAUAGGGGCGAAAGACUAAUCGAACCAUCUAGUAGCUGGUUCCCUCCGAAGUUUCCCCUAGGAUAGCUGGAGCCUAAUCGCAAUUAGUUAUACUCGGUAAAGCGAACGAUUAGAGGACUUGGGGUCAAAAGACCUUAACCUAUUCUCAAACUCUCAAUGGGUAUGAAGUCCUAGUUGCUUGAUUGAACUAGGACGUUGAAUAUAGGCUCCAAGUGGGCCAUUUUUGGUAAGCA